rnacentral:rRNA from 1 species
AUUGAACGCUGGCGGCAUGCUUUACACAUGCAAGUCGAACGGUAACAGGUUAAGCUGACGAGUGGCGAACGGGUGAGUAAUGCAUCGGAACGUGCCCGAUCGUGGGGGAUAACGCAGCGAAAGCUGCGCUAAUACCGCAUACGAUCUGAGGAUGAAAGCGGGGGACCGUAAGGCCUCGCGCGAUCGGAGCGGCCGAUGUCAGAUUAGGUAGUUGGUGGGGUAAAGGCUCACCAAGCCAACGAUCUGUAGCUGGUCUGAGAGGACGACCAGCCACACUGGGACGGAGACACGGCCCAGACUCCUACGGGAGGCAGCAGUGGGGAAUUUUGGACAAUGGACGCAAGUCUGAUCCAGCCAUGCCGCGUGCGGGAAGAAGGCCUUCGGGUUGUAAACCGCUUUUGUCAGGGAAGAAAUCUUCUGGACUAAUACUCUGGGAGGAUGACGGUACCUGAAGAAUAAGCACCGGCUAACUACGUGCCAGCAGCCGCGGUAA